rnacentral:lncRNA from 10 species
AGGCUUUAGUUUGAUGAACACAUUUAUAUGAUGGGACGAACAUCAGAGCCCGCAGCUCUCGGCCCUGCUGGUGGCAGAGGCUUUGUACUGUGUGACAAUGACCUGGAUAUGGAAGCAGAAGGGAGCUUCUAAGGACCGGAAGCUGAGAGUCUGUCUCCUGUCCCGGCCCGGACACUGGGGUUCAGGAAGUUUAAGAACAGACACUGUCUUGACAGGAACCAGAGCCUCAGUGUCUGCAGGAGUUGCUGGCUGUUUCCUGAUGCAGUUGGAGCAGAAUGGGAUGUCCUGGGACAACAGAGAUGUUUACCCAUCUUGACUAGUGUGGUCAUCUGAAGAAUGGCCUCCAAAGACAUCCUGAGAACCUGGGAAUGUUGCAUGGAUGAAGGAAUUUGCAAAAGUGAUUAAGUUAAGGAGCUUGAAAUUUGUGGAUCAUGCUGGGUUACCCCAGUGAGCUCUAAAUGUAAUCACAUGUGUCUUUAUGAAAGGGAGGCAGAGGGAGAUUUGCAGACAGAUGAGGAGGAAGAUGAGAAAACAAUGGACACAAGAAAGAAAAGGUGAUGCAGUUCAGGGACCCAAGCCAAUAAAUGAGGUGACCUCCAGAUGCUGGAGAAGGGAAGGAAGCAGAUGGACUCUAGAGCCCCCAAAAGAAGCAGGGCUCUGCCAUCACCUUGAUUUUGUCCCAAUGAAACCCAUUGGUCAUUUAGCUGCCAGAACUGUGUAAGCAUAAAUGUGUGUUCGUUUAAGCCAUGAAAUUUGCAGUAAUUUGUUAAAGCUGCCAUGGGAAACUAACACAACUGGAGUGGUAGUUCCGUGAAUGCAUGCAUUCACCAAACCUUAACAUGUACUCUUCGGAUACUGGCAUGAUAGGUCCAUGAAUGCAUAUGUUCACCCACACACUAAUAUAUACCCUUCAAAUACUGGUAUGAUAGUUCUAUGAAUGCAUGUGUUCACCACACACUAACAUGUACCCUUCAGAUACGGGCAUGGUAGUGCCCUGAAUACACGUGUUCACCAAACCCCAACAUGUACCCUUCAGAUACUGGCAUGAUAGUUCCAUGAAUCCAUGUGUUCACCAAAUCCCAACAUGUACUCUUCAGAUAUGGACAUGGUAGUUCCAUGAAUACAUGUUUUCACCAAAAACCAACAUGUACCCUUCAGAUACUGGUAUGAUAGUUCCAUGAAUGCAUAUGUUCACCAAACUAAAAUAUGUACCUGAUAUGGUUUGGCUGUGUCCCCACCCAAAUCUCAUCUUGAAUUGUAGCUCCCAUAAUCCUCACAUGUUGUGGGAGGGUCCUGGUGGGAGGUAAUUGAAUCACAGGGGUGGAUUUUUCCUGUGCUGUUCUCAUGAUAGUAAGUCUCACCAGAUCCGAUGGUUUUAUAAAGGGCAGUUCCCCUGAACAUGCUCUCUUGCCUGCUGUAAUGUAAGACAUGCUUUUGCUCUUCCUUCACCUUCUUGCCAUGAUUGUGAGGCAUAGCCAGCCAUGUUGAACUGUAAGUCAAUUAAACCUCUUUCCUUUAUAAAUUACCCAGUCUCAGGUAUUUCUUCACAGCAGUAUGAAAAUGGACUAAUACAGUAAAUUGGUACCGGGAGUGGGGUGCUGCUGUAAAGAUACCCAAAAAUGUGGAAGUGACUUU